AGGUGCUGCAUGGCUGUCGUCAGCUCGUGUCGUGAGAUGUUGGGUUAAGUCCCGCAACGAGCGCAACCCUUGUCAUUAGUUGCUACGAAAGAGCACUCUAAUGAGACUGCCGGUGACAAACCGGAGGAAGGUGGGGAUGACGUCAAGUCCUCAUGGCCCUUAUGGGUAGGGCUUCACACGUCAUACAAUGGUACAUACAGAGGGCCGCCAACCCGCGAGGGGGAGCUAAUCCCAGAAAGUGUAUCGUAGUCCGGAUUGUAGUCUGCAACUCGACUGCAUGAAGUUGGAAUCGCUAGUAAUCGCGGAUCAGCAUGUCGCGGUGAAUACGUUCCCGGGUCUUG
rnacentral:rRNA from 1 species